rnacentral:rRNA from 1 species
UACGAAGGGGGCUAGCGUUGCUCGGAAUCACUGGGCGUAAAGCGCACGUAGGCGGCUUACUAAGUCAGGGGUGAAAUCCUGGAGCUCAACUCCAGAACUGCCUUUGAUACUGGUGAGCUUGAGUCCGGAAGAGGUGAGUGGAACUGCGAGUGUAGAGGUGAAAUUCGUAGAUAUUCGCAAGAACACCAGUGGCGAAGGCGGCUCACUGGUCCGGUACUGACGCUGAGGCGCGAAAGCGUGGGGAGCAAACAGG